rnacentral:misc_RNA from 1 species
AAAAAAAAAAAAAAAAAUCUAAGCUUGAUUUUGGGUACGACUUUUGAAAUUUCAGUUUUAGUUCAAGUUGUAAAAGGAUGUGGACUUAAACAAAUAGAAAAGAGAACCUAUAACUAACCAAAUCUUGGAGAAUAUACUUGAAAAUAACACCUUUUUAGUCGGCAUUUUAAUAUUCAGCGUCAAGAAAUCUUUAUGUACAUUCUUCAAUGCAAUCUCAAAACAAUAAGCCUACCAAUCAAAAUUGUGAGAAAAUAGAACAUAAGAAG